GGCAUCCUGGCGGGCGGCACGUGACAUAUCAGAGGCAAUGCGGACGUCACGGUGGGCUGUAUGCAUCUCAGUCGUCAAAGUUCCCAUAGCCUGCUGGAGACUCUGCACAUCUCGGCUGAUCCCCGUGGUGGUGGUGAAAAUCUGCCUCAAAACCUGAUUGUCCAUAUCAACCUGGGGUGGUGGUGGAGGAAUUUGAGGCAUGUCAAGGUCUGCAUCUGCUUGACCUUCCUCAUUCAAUUGCUGUCGUCGUCGUGCGUUUUCUAAUUUCUGUUGGUGCUUCAGUCUUGCUCGGUCUUGGGCCUCUAGUGUGGAUUGCUUGAUAAAGGGGCUUGGCUUUUCGGGUGCUUCACCAGGUUGGAUUUGUAUCCCUGCUGCUCUACAUAUUCCACUUAUCAGACUGGAAAAAAUUAGUGAGUAGUGCCGAUCACCCCAAGUGCCUGUACCAUGAAUUUGGUUGUAGAUGUACGUGGCUAGAUCAAUCUUGUUCCCUCUAACCAAAUGGUAUAUGAAUCCAGCCCUUAGAUUUGUAAAUGUUGUUCUGUGGGAUAUAGGCUCGAUGUUAUGGCACAUGAAUAACCAUAAAAUUGCUAUGAAUGGGGUGAGAUCUAUCUUAUGCCAGUCUGCUGUAGGUAGAGGCCAAGCGUUUUCACGUCCCAACAAUAUUUCUGCAACCUCAUUCCAGUUGAAGUCCUCUGGGAUAGGGACCACAUUGUUCCAAGAUAACUGAUAGUAGUCAUGGAUUACCUCCGGUGAGAACAUAAUCCAUUUGUCCCUAACCCAUGUCUGAUGUAAGUGCUCCGAUCCGGGAGUGUCGAUUUCUGUGUUGAAAUUUGCAUAAAACUCCUUUGCUAGAUUCUCAUAAACCGGAUAAGGUCUUUCUAUAACCUUUUUCCAACCACAAUUGUGAAUAAGAUAUGUCAAUUCAAAGUUGGGGAAGUCUUCUAACUUUACUGGCCUCUCGGGAAUGAUUGCCCAAUCACGCACAACAUUGGCGUAUCGGGCUGCCGUAUCUAAUGAUAGGAAUCUUCGAACACCCCCUUCAGGUUCUCUUGUUCGGGCCGUUCCAGAUGAGGAGCCGACUUUCUCUUUUCCCUUUGAAGUUCUUUUAGGUGGCAUCCUGCAAAAGGAAAUACACAAUAUCACUUACUUGGUGUAGAAAAAAAAAUGGGCAUGAAUAAACUUUGAAUUCAUAAUCCCCCAAACUUUCUUCAAUAUGCACAUUUACAUGUGUCUAUGCAAUAUUUCACAACAUGAAUCAUCAAUAUAACUCUAGCAUUGCAUAAGUAUGGGAAACUCAAAAUUUUGGCUCAAACAUGCAUUUCUAAAAAAAUUUUACCCAUGACCAAGUGACCAAGUUCGGCCCCGGGCAUCACCGAGAAAUAUCCAAAUUUCCCCGAGCAAGUUUUGGACAUGUGAAAGUACAUAAUGAUAUCUAGCAUAUAUCCAAAUUUCACCCUAAUCGGAGGUCGUUUGCAUUAGAAAACAUAGGGACGAAGGUAGUGACGUGAGUGGAUAUGUUGAACCAUGAAAUGCCUUUGUGAAUUCAAAUGUUAAGGUAAUGUUUUCUAUUGAAAUAUCACAUGAUUUUUCGACAAAAACGCUACACAAUAACGAUGUAAACUAUUACAUAAGUGAAAAGCCCAAAAAAUAAAACAUGCGUUGAUGUGGCAUUUCGUCGAACACCUGGUGUGCAAUGUGAAUUACUUCCUAUUUCUUACAUACACUACCAUGAAAGUUCCCCAAAUCCACAAUAGUACACCAAUCUACCACAAUACAUUCUACUUAAAUCCACACAUUGAAAGAGAAUGUAAGAAUGAAGCCCGAAAUGUUGUCGGAGUUAGAAUUCAUACCUUGCUUGGCAAGUUGGAAGCUUGAUGUAUGUCAAUAUCCACGCACUAGUGUGAGGAGUGUGUGUAGUGCAAUUUUGGGGUGUAUGCAAUUAAGUGUGUGUAGUGAAUUAGGUGCAAGUGUGAUGGUAAAAAUGAGUGUGCAAGUGAAGAGUGAGAGGUGGAGUGUGUGCAUCCGAAUGUGAGGGAAAGGGGGGGGGGGAAUUUUGGGGAUUAAAGGUGUGGUCACGGGUUAAAACCCGUGACCACAACACUAUGCGACCGCAUAGUGUUGCACUAUGCGGUCGCAUAGUGCAAUCCAACUGCCCCUCUUUGUUUUCGGUAGCGGUCUAUGCGGUCGCAUAGACCAAACCGAGUAUAAAUUUAUUUUUAUUUUUAUUUUAUUUUUUUCAAGAACAUAACUUAGAAUUUAAACUCCCCCAAAAUCGAUUUUUCAAAAAUAUUUACCCGCAUUCUGAAAUCUUAACCAAAACGGACAUCUUCGCCCAUCGAAAUGCGUGACAUACACUCGAACACUCGACACACUUCAUAACGCCCCGAUUCAUGCAACAUUAAACGUGAAAUGCCUAGGCUAUCCUGCAAAAUAUGAUUGAUGACCUACAAAACAAACUAAAAUCAAACAAAUUCCUAAACUAAUGCAAUGCAAUAAAAUAAAAUAAAGGAUACAGUGGGUUGCCUCCCACUCAGCGCUAGGUUAUAGUCGAUAGCUCGACUUUACCGUAAUGCGUCAUUCUGGUGAUCCAAGUUGGACGGUAGACUUGUCCUUUGAGAAAUCACCGCCCCAGUAAUGCUUCAACCGCUGUCCAUUGACUUUGAAUGUCCCCUUGCUGUCGUGAGUGAUCUCAAUUGCCCCAUGUGGAAAUACUUGUGUAAUGGUGUAUGGACCAGACCAUCUCGAUCUCAAUUUUCCUGGAAACAGCUUAAGCCUGGAGUUAUACAGUAACACUUUUUGCCCCACUUGAAAGUCACGCCUCUGGAUAUGCAUGUCAUGCCAUUUCUUGGUGCGCUCUUUGUAGAUCUUUGAGUUCUCAUAGGCUUCCAUUCUGAGUUCAUCAAGUUCAUUCAGUUGUAACAGCCGUUUUUCACCUGCAGCCUUCAAAUCCAAGUUCAACUUCUUCAUUGCCCAGUAAGCAUGAUGUUCGAUCUCGAGAGGUAGAUGGCAUGCUUUCCCAAAAACCAGUCGAUAUGGAGACAUUCCUAUAGGAGUCUUGAAUGCAGUCCUGUAGGCCCACAAGGCAUCAUCCAGUUUCUUUGACCAAUCCUUUCGUGAUGAGUUAACUGUGACUUCCAGAAUACGCUUCAAUUGCCUAUUGGAUACUUCGACCUGUCCGCUGGUUUGGGGAUGAUAUGCGGUGGCUAUGCGGUGCUUGACGCCAUAUUUUGAUAACAACUGCUCGAA
rnacentral:lncRNA from 1 species